rnacentral:rRNA from 1 species
GAUGAACGCUGGCGGCGUGCCUAAUACAUGCAAGUCGAGCGAACAGACGAGGAGCUUGCUCCUCUGACGUUAGCGGCGGACGGGUGAGUAACACGUGGAUAACCUACCUAUAAGACUGGGAUAACUUCGGGAAACCGGAGCUAAUACCGGAUAAUAUAUUGAACCGCAUGGUUCAAUAGUGAAAGACGGUUUUGCUGUCACUUAUAGAUGGAUCCGCGCCGCAUUAGCUAGUUGGUAAGGGAACGGCUUACCAAGGCGACGAUGCGUAGCCGACCUGAGAGGGUGAUCGGCCACACUGGAACUGAGACACGGUCCAGACUCCUACGGGAGGCAGCAGUAGGGAAUCUUCCGCAAUGGGCGCAAGCCUGACGGAGCAACGCCGCGUGAGUGAUGAAGGUCUUCGGAUCGUAAAACUCUGUUAUUAGGGAAGAACAAAUGUGUAAGUAACUAUGCACGUCUUGACGGUACCUAAUCAGAAAGCCACGGCUAACUACGUG